UACGAAGGGUGCAAACGUUGCUCGGAAUUAUUGGGCGUAAAGCGCACGUAGGCGGCUUUGCAAGUCCCAUGUGAAAUCCCACGGCUCAACCGUGGAAGUGCAUGGGAAACUGCAGAGCUUGAGUACUUAAGAGGAUCGCGGAAUUCCCGGUGUAGAGGUGAAAUUCGUAGAUAUCGGGAGGAACACCAGUGGCGAAGGCGGCGAUCUGGGAAGAUACUGACGCUGAGGAGCGAAAGUGUGGGGAGCGAACAGG
rnacentral:rRNA from 1 species